AACGAACGCUGGCGGCAUGCCUAACACAUGCAAGUCGAACGAGAUCUUCGGGUCUAGUGGCGCACGGGUGCGUAACGCGUGGGAAUCUGCCCUUUGGUUCGGAAUAACAGUUUGAAACGACUGCCAAUACCGGAUGAUGACGAAAGUCCAAAGAUUGAUCGACAGAGGAUGAGCCCGCGUAGGAUUAACUAGUUGGUGUGGUAAAGGCGCACCAAGGCGACGAUCCUUAGCUGGUCUGAGAGGAUGAUCAGCCACACUGGGACUGAGACACGGCCCAGACUCGUACGGGAGGAAGCAGUGGUGAAUAUUGGACAAUGGGCGAAAGCCUGAUCCAGCAAUGCCGCGUGAGUGAUGAAGGCCUUAGGGUUGUAAAGCUAUUUUACCCGGGAUGAUAAUGACAGUACCGGCAGAAUAAGCUCCGGCUAACUCCGUGCCAGCAGCCGCAGUAA
rnacentral:rRNA from 1 species